AAUAGAUACCCGGGUAGUCCACGCCGUAAACGAUGAAUACUAGGUGUAGGGGUUGUCAUGACCUCUGUGCCGCCGCAAACGCAUUAAGUAUUCCGCCUGGGGAGUACGGUCGCAAGAUUAAAACUCAAAGGAAUUGACGGGGGGCCCGCACAAGCAGCGGAGCAUGUGGUUUAAUUCGAAGCAACGCGAAGAACCUUACCUAGACUUGACAUCUCCUGAAUUACUCUGUAAUGGAGGAAGCCCUUCGGGGCAGGAAGACAGGUGGUGCAUGGUUGUCGUCAGCUCGUGUCGUGAGAUGUUGGGUUAAGUCCCGCAACGAGCGCAACCCUUAUUGUUAGUUGCUACCAUUAAGUUGAGCACUCUAGCGAGACUGCCCGGGUUAACCGGGAGGAAGGUGGGGAUGACGUCAAAUCAUCAUGCCCCUUAUGUCUAGGGCUACACACGUGCUACAAUGGCUGGUACAGAGAGAUGCUAAACCGUGAGGUGGAGCCAAACUUUAAAACCAGUCUCAGUUCGGAUUGUAGGCUGAAACUCGCCUACAGU
rnacentral:rRNA from 1 species